CUCAAAAUCCCUCAUCUGUCUAGAACAAGCUGAGCAUUCUCAGCAUAUAAACAGGAGUCCAAGACUCUCAAAGCAGAGUCUUAAGCUGUUCUGCAUUCCAACUAAAGCAGGUCAGACAAGGAUCUCUCUAUCUGUGGCCAAGAAGAUCAGGUAGAAUCCAAGUGUAUAUUCUCUGAUCUGCCACAGAACCCAUGAUGGUCGCCAAGCAUAUGCUGAAUGCACCAGGCUGGAAUACAGUGAACACACAUACUCUCGUGCAUGGUAAUGGAAAUGCCCACCUGCUCCAUUAGAGCAUCAAGGAGAAGAGAUGACAUCAUGCUAUAGACAUAUGGAGCCAUGCAGGCUUGAGAACAAGACUAAAUUGGGGAUUUCACUUGUUUGGUCAUAAGACAACAGGGCCACAAAGCCAGCAAUCCCAAGCCUAAGUGAGGUUCACCAGGACAUCUGACUACCCAUCAAGUCCAAUGUCUUGCUGCUCAAGAGAAGAGCAGGGAUUUGAACUUUUGACUUCAGUGCAUAUCAACCAUGGUUAAGACCAUGGAGCCAGUGACUAGCUGAUGUGACUCCAAAUGUUAAGUGGUCAUCUCACUCCAAAAAAAUCUAUUUCCAGAAUGAAAUCAAGCAAGGGCCCAGAGAAGUAUGCAAAGGAACUCACUUCUUCCUCUUCUAUACCAGUCAGGUCCCAGAAGUAGCCCAGCCGCAUCUGUAAUCUCUUCCAGUUUUCAAGAAACAUGGUAGCUUAAAAAGAAAGAAGAAAUCCUAUUAAAGAAUGGAUUUUGAGUACCCUUUGGGUUCACCAAUGGGGGUGGAGGAUAAACUUAGAGGUUUCAAAUUUUUGGACUCUCUUUAAAGCACUUACUCCCUUCCUCCUACUUCUAGCUGGAACUGCUCAAAACAUUCCCCAUCCCUGAGAGCCUGAUAGAUGUAACGGGAGAUACACACA